GGCGGGUUUCCCGAGCGGCCAAAGGGAACUGACUGUAAAUCAGUCGCUGUUAUGCUUCGCAGGUUCGAAUCCUGCACCCGCCA
rnacentral:tRNA from 2 species